UGGCGAGAAGUACGCGGAAUGCGCGGUGUAGCGGUGAAAUGCAUAGAUAUCGCGCAGAACUCCGAUUGCGAAGGCAGCGUACCGGCGCCAGACUGACGCUGAGGCACGAAAGCGUGGGGAUCAAACAGGAUUAGAUACCCUGGUAGUCCGCACAGUAAACGAUGAAUGCUAGCUGUCCGGGGGGAUUGACCCCUGGGUGGCACAGCGAAAGCGUUAAGCAUUCCACCUGGGGAGUACGCCGGCAACGGUGAAACUCAAAGGAAUUGACGGGGGCCCGCACAAGCGGAGGAACAUGUGGUUUAAUUCGAUGAUACGCGAGGAACCUUACCCGGGCUCAAACGCAUAAUGACGACAGUUGAAAGAUUGUUUCCCUUCGGGGCAUUAUGCGAGGUGCUGCAUGGUUGUCGUCAGCUCGUGCCGUGAGGUGUCGGCUUAAGUGCCAUAACGAGCGCAACCCCUAUCGACAGUUGCUAACGAGUCGAGUCGAGGACUCUGUCGAGACUGCCGGCGCAAGCUGUGAGGAAGGCGGGGAUGACGUCAAAUCAGCACGGCCCUUACGUCCGGGGCGACACACGUGUUACAAUGGCAGGGACAGCGGGAAGCCACCAAGCGAUUGGGCGCGGAACCCGAAACCCUGUCUCAGUUCGGAUUGGAGUCUGCAACCCGACUCCAUGAAGCUGGAUUCGCUAGUAAUCGCGCAUCAGCCACGGCGCGGUGAAUACGUUCCCGGGCCUUGUACACACCGCCCGUCAAGCCAUGGAAGCCGGGGGUGCCUGAAGUGCGUGACCGCAAGGAGCGCCCUAGGGUAAAACCGGUGACUGGGGCUAAGUCGUAACAAGGUAACCGUAA
rnacentral:rRNA from 1 species